GAUCAUGGCUUAGGAUGAACGCUAGCUACAGGCUUAACACAUGCAAGUCGAGGGGCAUCAGUUUGGUUUGCUUGCAAACCAAAGCUGGCGACCGGAGCACGGGUGAGUAACACGUAUCCAACCUGCCUCAUACUCGGGGAUAGCCUUUCGAAAGAAAGAUUAAUGUCCGAUAGCAUAUAUUUCCCGCAUGGGUUUUAUAUUAAAGAAAUUCGGUAUGAGAUGGGGAUGCGUUCCAUUAGUUUGG
rnacentral:rRNA from 1 species